rnacentral:rRNA from 1 species
UACGUAGGGUGCGAGCGUUGUCCGGAAUUAUUGGGCGUAAAGAGCUCGUAGGCGGUGUGUCGCGUCGGUCGUGAAAACUUGGGGCUUAACCCUGAGCUUGCGGUCGAUACGGGCAUCACUGGAGUUCGGCAGGGGAGACUGGAAUUCCUGGUGCAGCGGUGAAAUGCGCAGAUAUCAGGAGGAACACCGGUGGCGAAGGCGGGUCUCUGGGCCGAUACUGACGCUGAGGAGCGAAAGCGUGGGGAGCGAACAGG